rnacentral:rRNA from 1 species
GACGAACCGUGCGAACGUUAUUCGGAAUCACUGGGCUUAAAGGGUGCGUAGGCGGGCUGUCAAGUCUGGGGUGAAAUCCCGCGGCUCAACCGUGGAACUGCCUCAGAUACUGAUGGCCUCGAGGAAGGUAGGGGCAUGCGGAACUGUAGGUGGAGCGGUGAAAUGCGUUGAUAUCUACAGGAACUCCGGUGGCGAAAGCGGCGUGCUGGACCUUUUCUGACGCUGAGGCACGAAAGCUAGGGGAGCAAACGGG